CCUACGGGUGGCAGCAGUGGGGGAUAUUGCACAAUGGGGGGAACCCUGAUGCAGCGACGCCGCGUGGGUGAAGGAGUAUCUCGGUAUGGAAAGCCCCAUCGGCAGGGAAGAAGCAAGACGGUACCUGACUAAGAAGCCCCGGCGAACUACGUGCCAGCAGCCGCGGUAAUACGUAGGGGGCGAGCGUUAUCCGGAUUCACUGGGGGUAAAGGGAGCGUAGGCGGCCAUGCAAGCCAGGGGUGAAAGCCCGGGGCCCAAACCCGGGACUGCCGUUGGAACGGGAUGGCUGGAGUGGGGGAGGGGCAGGCGGAAUGCCUGGUGUAGCGGUGAAAUGCGUAGAUAUCGGGAGGAACACCGGCGGCGAAGGCGGCGUGCUGGACCGCGACUGACGUUGAGGCUCGAAAGCGUGGGGAGCGAACAGGAUUAGAUACCCGGGUAGUC
rnacentral:rRNA from 1 species